rnacentral:misc_RNA from 1 species
GAUGAAGAACGCAGCGAAAUGCGAUACGUAGUGUGAAUUGCAGAAUUCAGUGAAUCAUCGAAUCUUUGAACGCCCAUUGCACCUCUCGGUAUUCAGGGAGGUAUGCCUGUUCGAGCGUCAUUUGUACCCUCAAGCUCUGCUUGGUGUUGGGUGUUUGUUCCGCCUCUGUGUGUGAACUCGCCUCAAAACAAUUGGCAGCCGGCGUACUUGUUUCGGAGCGCAGCACAUUUUGCGAUCCAGAUCAACGUACAGCGGCAUCCAAGAAGCCUUAUUUAACGCUCUUGACCUCGGAUCAGGUAGGGAUACCCGCUGAACUUAAGCAUAUCAAUAAGCGGAGGA